CAUCUACUCCCUCCGUCCCAAAAUUCUUGUCUUAGAUUUGUCUAAAUACGGAUGUAUCAAGUCACGUUUUAGCACUAGAUACAUCUGUAUCUAGACAAAUGUAAGACAAGAAUUUUGGGACGGAGGGAGUAUAUU
rfam:Triticum urartu cultivar G1812 contig916150, whole genome shotgun sequence.